rnacentral:rRNA from 1 species
AUUGAACGCUGGCGGUAGGCCUAACACAUGCAAGUCGAACGCGAAAGUCCUUCGGGAUGAGUAGAGUGGCGGACGGGUGAGUAACGCGUAGGAAUCUAUCCUGUAGUGGGGGAUAACGUUUCGAAAGGAACGCUAAUACCGCAUACGCCCCACGGGGGAAAGCGGGGGAUCUUCGGACCUCGUGCUAUAGGAGGAGCCUGCGUCGGAUUAGCUAGUUGGUGAGGUAAAGGCUCACCAAGGCGACGAUCCGUAGCUGGUCUGAGAGGAUGAUCAGCCACACCGGAACUGAGACACGGUCCGGACUCCUACGGGAGGCAGCAGUGGGGAAUAUUGCGCAAUGGGCGAAAGCCUGACGCAGCCAUACCGCGUGUGUGAAGAAGGCCUUCGGGUUGUAAAGCACUUUCAGUGGGGAGGAAAAGCUGGUGGCUAAUAUCCACCGGCCGUGACGCUACCGGAAUAAGAAGCACCGGCUAACUACGUGCCAGCCGCCGCAGUAAAAC